GGUAUGGUGGUGUAGUGGUUAGAGCAUUGGAUCAGGCCCUGGGAGAGGCCAGGGUUCAAAUCCCCUCCAUGCCA